rnacentral:rRNA from 1 species
UACACACCGCCCGUCACACCAUGGGAGUUGGUUUUACCUUAAGACGGUGUGCUAACCAGCAAUGGAGGCAGCCGGCCACGGUAGGGUCAGCGACUGGGGUG